rnacentral:rRNA from 1 species
CGGGUGCACUGAUCCGGCCGGGCCUUUCCCCUCUGUGGAACCCCAUGGCCUUCACUGGCUGUGCGGGGGAAACAGGACUUUUACUGUGAAAAAAUUAGAGUGCUCCAGGCAGGCCUAUGCUCGAAUACAUUAGCAUGGAAUAAUAGAAUAGGACGCGUGGUUCUAUUUUGUUGGUUUCUAGGACCGCCGUAAUGAUUAAUAGGGACAGUCGGGGGCAUCAGUAUUCAAUUGUCAGAGGUGAAAUUCUUGGAUCUAUUGAAGACUAACUACUGCGAAAGCAUUUGCCAAGGAUGUUUUCAUUGAUAAGGAACGAAAGUUAGGGGAUCGAAGACGAUCAGAUACCGUCGUAGUCUUAACUAUAAACUAUGCCGACUAGGGAUCGGACGAUGUUAUUUCUUGACGCGUUCGGCACCUUUCGAGAAAUCAAAGUGCUUGGGCUCCAGGGGGAGUAUGGUCGCAAGGCUGAAACUUAAAGAAAUUGACGGAAGGGCACCACCAGGGGUGGAACCUGCGGCUUAAUUUGACUCAACACGGGGAAACUCACCAGGUCCAGACACAGUGAGGAUUGACAGAUUGAGAGCUCUUUCUUGAUUCUGUGGGUGGUGGUGCAUGGCCGUUCUUAGUUGGUGGAGUGAUUUGUCUGCUUAAUUGCGAUAACGAACGAGACCUUAACCUGCUAAAUAGCCCGUACUGCUCUGGCAGUUCGCCGGCUUCUUAGAGGGACUAUCGG